rnacentral:lncRNA from 1 species
GAGCAUCGAGUCGCCCAACCUGGGGUUCGGGGUGGAUCCUUUCCUGCCCCAUCUCCUGGAGGACGAACAAGGGCCCAUCUCCGACCUGGAGCCCGAGCUGGAUUCCCAAAAUUGGCAGCAGAUGGUCAGCAGGGACCUGGUGGCCAACCUGCCCCUCAUCUAUACCUUCCUAUAGCUUUCUCCUCCCUCUAAACCAGCUUUGAGAGAGCAGAGGGGGGAGGCCAGGGGUGCCCCGGGGGGGAGUUUUUGGGGGGAUGUCCCCCCCCUUUAGUUCUCCAUCCUCCUGGGGGGGCCAGGGGGCACCUCUGUUCCCUUGUGUCUCCUGCAGGAGCUUACAGGAACCCGGGUAGAUGCCCUCUGGGGGACCCACUAGGCUUUUUUGGUUGUGGUUUUUAAGCUCGAGAGUCAGAGGCUUUUGUACUCCUUGUGCUGAUGGCCCCGGGUUCAAGCCCCAGUAGGGCCCCAGGUAGAUACUGGGGAGCACUGGGAGGGGGGUGGCUGGACGUUGGGUGGCCACAGAGGACUCCCACCCGGCGCCUUUGCUCUUCCUUCCCCUCUUUUUUUGCAACCCCCCAGGAGCAUCGAGUCGCCCAACCUGGGGUUCGGGGUGGAUCCUUUCCUGCCCCAUCUCCUGGAGGACGAACAAGGGCCCAUCUCCGACCUGGAGCCCGAGCUGGAUUCCCAAAAUUGGCAGCAGAUGGUCAGCAGGGACCUGGUGGCCAACCUGCCCCAGAAGGAGAUCGACCGCCAGGAGGUCAUCAACGAGCUCUUUGCCACCGAAGGGUCUCACCUCCGCAUCCUCCGGGUCCUCGACCUCCUCUUCUACCAGCGGCUGAAGAAGGAGAACCUCCUGUCCCGGGAGGAGCUGGGGCUCCUCUUCCCCAACCUCCCCGACCUGAUAGACAUCCACAAUUCUCUCUCCGAAUCCAUGAAGAAGCUCCGGGAAGAAGGACCAAUCAUCAAAGAAAUUGGGGAUCUCAUGCUCUCUCGGGUAAAGGAACGGGGGGGGG